rnacentral:rRNA from 1 species
ACAUGCAAGUCGAGCGGAGUUUAUCGGGAGCUUGCUCCUGAUAAACUUAGCGGCGGACGGGUGAGUAACACGUAGGCAACCUGCCCGUAAGACUGGGAUAACUACCGGAAACGGUAGCUAAUACCGGAUACGCAAGUCUCUCGCAUGAGGGGCUUGGGAAAGGCGGAGCAAUCUGUCACUUACGGAUGGGCCUGCGGCGCAUUAGCUAGUUGGUGGGGUAACGGCUCACCAAGGCGACGAUGCGUAGCCGACCUGAGAGGGUGAACGGCCACACUGGGACUGAGACACGGCCCAGACUCCUACGGGAGGCAGCAGUAGGGAAUCUUCCGCAAUGGACGAAAGUCUGACGGAGCAACGCCGCGUGAGUGAUGAAGGUUUUCGGAUCGUAAAGCUCUGUUGCCAGGGAAGAACGUCCGUUAGAGUAACUGCUAACGGAGUGACGGUACCUGAGAAGAAAGCCCCGGCUAACUACGUGCCAGCAGCCGCGGUAAUACGUAGGGGGCGAGCGUGUCCGGAAUUAUUGGGCGUAAAGCGCGCGCAGGCGGCUGUUUAAGUCUGGUGUUUA